CCUACGGGUGGCAGCAGUGAGGAAUAUUGGUCAAUGGGCGCAAGCCUGAACCAGCCAAGUCGCGUGAGGGAAUAAGGCCCUACGGGUCGUAAACCUCUUUUGCCGGGGAGCAAGGGCGAGGGCGUGUCCCGUCCCGGAGAGUACCCGGAGACAAAGCAUGGGCUAACUCCGUGCAAGCAGCCGCGGUAAUACGGGGGAUGCGAGCGUGAUCCGAAUUUAAUGGGGUUAAAGGGUGCGUAGGCGGGCUUUUUAGUGAGCGGUAAAUAUUCGGGGCUCAACCCCGUCCGGCCGUUGAAACUGGGGGCCUAGAGUGGGCGAGAGGAAGGCGGAAUGCGUGGUGUAGCGGUGAAAUGCAUAGAUAUCACGCAGAACCCCGAUUGCGAAGGCAGCCUUCCGGCGCCCUACUGACGCUGAGGCACGAAAGUGCGGGGAUCGAACAGGAUUAGAUACCCGAGUAGUC
rnacentral:rRNA from 1 species